GUGAGGAAUAUUGGUCAAUGGGCGAGAGCCUGAACCAGUCAAGUCGCGUGAAGGAAGAAGGAUCUAUGGUUCGUAAACUUCUUUUGCAGGGGAAUAAAGUGCGGGACGUGUCCUGUUUUGUAUGUACCCUGAGAAUAAGGAUCGGCUAACUCCGUGCCAGCAGCCGCGGUAAUACGGAGGAUCCGAGCGUUAUCCGGAUUUAUUGGGUUUAAAGGGUGCGUAGGUGGGUUGAUAAGUCAGCGGUGAAAGUGUGCAGCUUAACUGUAAAAAUGCCGUUGAAACUGUCGGACUUGAGUGUAAAUGAGGUAGGCGGAAUGCGUGGUGUAGCGGUGAAAUGCAUAGAUAUCACGCAGAACUCCGAUUGCGAAGGCAGCUUACUAAGCUACAACUGACACUGAAGCACGAAAGCGUGGGGAUCAAACAGGAUUAGAAACCCUUGUAGUCC
rnacentral:rRNA from 1 species